UUUGUUCUUUUUUCCUGAUUUGAUUUAUUUAUAAAAGUUUAAAUCUGACACACAGAGAAUCUAUAAAAACCAACAUGAUGCUGAAUGAAACACUGAGAUCAUUUUCAGAUGUGAAGCAGGUUCACAAGAAACUGUAGACAAUCCCUUUAAGAACAUCAAUUUUCCUGCAGCGUUGGCUGCUGUUGCCAUGGUAACAGGUGGACGUUUUCUCUGACCGAGCUUCAGCGUUUGUGUUUUCAAUUUUUACUCUUUGAAUCAGAGAGUGAGGGAACAAAACAGAUUUAAAUUUGAAGGCAUCACAGCUGGUCAGUUUGAGCUCAAGAAACGUUUUUUCAGGACAGCAGUCGGAGUCGUCGUUUGACUAUUUUAGCUAGGUGGGACAGAGCUAACUACCGAGGUAGCUAAGACUGAAUAAACAUGGCCAACUGCAGUUUGAGCUAAACUGAGAUUAAUGCUGUGUUCGAGUUACCUCGGAAGUCAGAAGUCCAAGGUAAAACUGGCGUCACACCCAAGUUCCCAGCGUUUCAGUUACCAAGUCAGAAAAAAGCAAAAUCAGAGGCAGAAACAAGAUGGCUACAUCUACGAAAGUUAUUUUAGCACUUGCCUUGUUCGAAUAUAAGUUAAGUGCUAAAAUAACUUUUGUAGAUGUAGCUGUCUUUUUUUUACCUCCAAUUAUGGCUACAUCCACGAAAGUUAUUUUAGCGCUUACCUUAUAUUUGGACAAGGCAAACGCUAAAAUAACUGUGGUAGAUGUAGCCAUCUUGCUUCAGGCCUCCGAUUUAGCUUUUUUCCGACUUGGUAACUGAAACGCUGGGAACUUGGGUGUGACGCCAGUUUUAGCUUGGACUUCUGACUUCCGAGGUAACUGGAACGCAGCAUAAUUUUAGCACUAGCUAGCUGUUUGUCAGCUCAAAGCGGCUAACAGCUAUCAACUAUAGCAGGCUAAGCUGAACUACUAUUGUGACUGUCGCAAAGAGCGAAAAAAGAAGAGUUUGUUCACUGGCUCAUUAGCUGUAAAAAUAACGAUAUCGCCAUGGCGAACAACUAGCUAUUAGCUAUAAAAAAGUUCAUCAAUGGUCAAACGGUUACUGUGCUAAUCGCCAACGCCAACCAGAGUUGUGAAGUUAACAGCUAGCUUGUCAGCUUUAAGCUAGCUAAACAUACAAAUAAUGCUCACAGGCUAAAGGUUCACCAAAUUCAUGAAUUAUUUAUAAUAACAGAAAAAAACCUCUGACAAGGAGGACUAUGUUCAGUUCUUCCAGUAACUGAUUCAUUAAUGCAGAAAAAUACAAUAUUUAUAUUUUAGUCUCAUACGAACUCUGCGGCAUUCGCUAAUGUUAGCUAAAAGCUAACUGAGGUCACACUGAUCGAACAUGGAGGCUGUGAGAGGAGCCAAAGUGAGUUUCUGUGUUUUUCUGUCCACAGAUAUUCAAUAACAGUGUUUUUGAUCACAGCUGGGAGAAAACUUCGUAAACAGUUUUAUUAACUGAUAAAAAUCAGCGAUCUCUGGGGCAGACUGACGCCUGAAUCCAAUAAAUGAAUAAAUGGAUGUGAAAACUGAUACAGCAGAUCUGAGUGACAGUGAUAAGAAAAAUUUAUCUCUAUUUCUUAAGUUCCCUUUGUUUCCUCUGAAGAUCCUAACAAACAAAGCAGAUCAUAAUUCAUCAAUAAUAAUAGAUCAAAUUCUCAUCAAUGAACCUGAUCAAUGACACGGUGUAAACAGACGGAUCAGUUUUUUCUCUUUCCUCCUUAGAGUUUGUUUCCAGCACACAGUGAUUAAAGUUUCAUGAGUUUACCUACAGAGUCAUAUUUACAAGAAUCAUCUGAGAAGUGUUGUCAAGACUCCAGGAGCUCCAGAGCUGCAGCUGAAGAGGAACCUGAAGAACUUCUGCUUUUAGAAGGUAACUUUCUGGAUCUCGGUUCCUCUUUAGCCUCUUUGGACGAAUAAAAUGAACCUCAGUCACACUUUACUCCUGCUGUUCUACUCCUGUCCAGUUGGAGAGAGUAUAACAUGUCUAACAUCAUUUGUAAGCGGCUGAUAAACAAAAGAAUGAGGGUAAAACUUCAACCCCCAAUCUCCACAGCAUCCCGAAUGGCUCCGAUCCAGAACGGCUGCAAUUUUCACCCUCCACCAAUCCAUCCACCACCAUCCGUUUGUGAGGUGAAUUACUUGGCGGAUUACGGAUAGCAGGAAUCGCGAGAACUCACAAUAACCCACGGAUUCACGUGCAAUCGCGUGAUAACAAGUUGUCUCUAUAAAGACAGACACAUAGACAUAUAAGUAGUAGAUUGUGUCAUUCUAGAGGAGGAAUUCUACUUCUUGACUUGUAGAAUCAGCAUUUCCUCAUCCAUGGUGUCAUCGGGGUGAAAUGACAUCUAUAAACCUUUCACUUGUUCGUCUCCGCCCGUCUGCAUGGUGUGAAAUACAAUGUUUUUAUUGUAUUUUAUGUUUUGUGUCUGUGCUCAACUUCCUUUCCAGCACGGGUUAAUCUGUGCUGAAUUUAUCCGGCAUGCUCCGGUGUCCAGAAAAAAUAGAAGUCUUACGAUCAGCUGAGGAGUCUGGCGAUAUGCAGCGGAACGGAAAGAAGUCGGUGGAAAUCGACACGUUACCUUGAAUGGAUACGAUCGGAGGAUACAACCUUUUGUAGCCAUUCAGGAUGUGGUGGAAAUUGGGGGUAAGAGCCUGUUUCAUAAAAAGAUGACUCCGUUUUUGCACCAUGAACAUGAGCCAAAAAGACUUUGGAUCUGUCUCUGGCUGCUCAUGGCGGACCCUCUUUCACAUACAGACUGUGUCAUUAUUACACAUGAGGGUGAUUUUUAAAUUUGCUUUUUUAUGAGACAGCUCAAGGAAAUAAGGCGGAUCAAACCCGUCAAAUCUUUCAUGAAUCAACUGUGUAAUAAUCUGGAGUGGACGCUCCCCUUUCCACUCAACUCAUCAUAUAUGUGGAUAGAAGUGUGCACAGCAGAGCUCUGAGCAGCAGAGAUUCAGUACGUUUACAUGCCACUCGAGAAAACCGAAUUAUCGCCUUACUCCGAUUAAGACUGGACAACUGAAGUGCAUGUAAACACCUUAGUCUGACUAUAAUCGAAGUCUAAGAACUCUGAUGAAGACACCAAGAUAAUGCAAUUGGAAUUCGAUUUUCUCUACCAUGUAACCAGCGUAGUCAGAGUAUGAUCGGACAAUGCAUGUGCAUGUGCGCCAUGCCCCCGUAACCCCAUAACAAAAACACCAGAGAAAAAGAGUAGCGUGCGUCUCAUCUGCAAAAAUAGUAGCGCGUCCAUCAUAUAGGACAAAAGUUAAGGCUGUACGAUGCUCCAUCUUCUUGCUCCAAAAUGCCCAGCAGCAGUUGUAGACACUUCUGAUGUCUGGCACAGACCUGCUGUUGGUGUUGGCGGUUGUAUGUGGUUGGAAACAGCGCUGCUGAAAAGACCCAUAUCGCCCCCUAGUUUUGGGGAGGAGGACAUGUUCACGUCAAUAAUUCGAUUUUCUCAGCUGCAUGUACACGCGGACAAGGAGAGAAGUCUGAUUGGGCGAAAAAAAAACGAAUUAUGAGCUUAGUCCGAUCAAGCUGUGCAUAUAAACGCACUGAGUGAUGCUGCCAGCUCAGUACUCAUCCGGUGCAACACUGGAGCAAACUGCACAAACUUUGAGGGUGUGUUUGUGCUUGAACCUCAUGAGCAGAAAAUGCUUUUCAUUUCCUGCGCUCAACUUUAACUUAUUUUAUUUCUUGUUUUGAGUGUUAACAUCUGUCUUAGUGG